UACGAAGGGGACUAGCGUUGUUCGGAAUUACUGGGCGUAAAGCGCACGUAGGCGGAUUUGUUAGUCCGGGGUGAAAGCCCAAGGCUCAACCUUGGAAUUGCCUUUGAUACUGAGGGCCUUGAGACCGGAAGAGGUCGGCGGAACUGCGAGUGUAGAGGUGAAAUUCGUAGAUAUUCGCAAGAACACCAGUGGCGAAGGCGGCCGACUGGUCCGGUUCUGACGCUGAGACGCGAAAGCGUGGGGAGCAAACAGG
rnacentral:rRNA from 1 species